AACGAACGCUGGCGGCAUGCCUAACACAUGCAAGUCGAACGAGACCUUCGGGCCUAGUGGCGCACGGGUGCGUAACGCGUUGGAACCUGCCCUUAGGUUCGGAAUAACUCCCCGAAAGGGGUGCUAAUACCGGAUAAUGUCUUCGGACCAAAGUUUUAACGCCUUUGGAUGGGCCGGCGUUGGAUUAGCUAGUUGUUAGGGUAAAAGCCUCCCACGGCGACGAUCCAUACCUGGUUAGAGAGGAUGAGCAGCCACACUGGGAGUAAGAAACGGCCCAGAAUACUAGGGGAGGGGGGAGUGGGGGAUAUAGGAAAGCGGGCGGAGGGAAGAACGUGUACGGACGGGAGAGUAAUGAAGGUCGGGGGGAAGUAAAGCAAGUUUACACGGGAUGGUAAUGACGGUACCGGGAGAAUAAGCACCGGCUAACUCCGUG
rnacentral:rRNA from 1 species